UUCGCAAUGCCCGAAAGGGUGACGAAGCGACGCCGCGUGGGUGAGGAAGGCCUUCGGGUUGUAAAGCCCUGUCAGGAGUUAAGAAAUGUAAGUUCGUUAAUACCGUACUUAUUUGACAAAGGCUCCAAAGGAAGCCACGGCUAACUCUGUGCCAGCAGCCGCGGUAAUACAGAGGUGGCGAGCGUUGUUCGGAAUUAUUGGGCGUAAAGAGCACGUAGGUGGGUUUGCAAGUCAGAUGUGAAAGCCUUCUGUUCAACGGGAGAAUUGCAUCUGAAACUGCUAAUCUUGAGUAUAGGAGGGGAGAAUGGAACUUCUGGUGGAGCGGUGAAAUGCGUAGAUAUCAGAAGGAACGCCGGCGGCGAAAGCGAUUCUCUGGCCUAUUACUGACACUCAGUGUGCGAAAGCUAGGGGAGCAAACGGGAUUAGAUACCCCGGUAGUCCUAGCCGUAAACGAUGGGCACUAAGUAGAGGGGUUUU
rnacentral:rRNA from 1 species